GUGGAGGUUGUGGCGCGUGAGGUGGAGGUUGUGGCGCGUGCUGGCUCGGCGAGGCUGCCUGUUGUAGGGGUGCUGGGCUGCACGUUGAGGGGUGGUUGUGUGUCCUGCUCCCUUCGGUCGGUGUUCUCGGCAACAUCUUAAGAUACUAGAAAAGGAUUUUACAGGACCAAGUCACAGCAAGAGUGAUUCCUGUCGUACCUCAAGAGCUAUGAGUAUGAAAAAGUCACAGGAAGAGCCUCCUGAAAAGGAUGAAGAUGCUGACUUUUUCAGUUUUUCUGCUCUUCAAACCAAAGUUGAUUUUAAACUUGGACUGCGCAGUAGAAACUCACCAAGGCUGACAAGGCCCUUCAGUAACGAUACCAAAGAGAAAAAUGUUCAGCGUCUGAUUUCUUCAGAUGGUGGGCUGAAGUAUAAACCAGUUCUAGCUCCACCAGUAGACACGGUGGGUUAACGUUGAAUUAUAUUCUCGUUUGU
rnacentral:lncRNA from 1 species